GGCUCAGGAUGAACGCUAGCGACAGGCUUAACACAUGCAAGUCGAGGGGCAGCACAGGUAGCAAUACUGGGUGGCGACCGGCGCACGGGUGCGUAACGCGUAUGCAACCUACCUAUAAUAGGGGGAUAGCCUUCUGAAAGGGAGAUUAAGACCGCAUAAUACAACUGAAUCGCAUGGAUUAGUUGUAAAAUAUUUAUAGAUUAUAGAUGGGCAUGCGUCUGAUUAGAUAGUUGGAGAGGUAACGGCUCACCAAGUCAACGAUCAGUAGGGGUUCUGAGAGGAAGGUCCCCCACACCGGAACUGAGACACGGUCCGGACUCCUACGGGAGGCAGCAGUGAGGAAUAUUGGUCAAUGGGCGAGAGCCUGAACCAGCCAAGUCGCGUGAAGGAAGAAGGUCUUAUGGAUUGUAAACUUCUUUUAUAGGGGAAUAAAGAUGAGUACGUGUACUCAGUUGUAGGUACCCUAAGAAUAAGGAUCGGCUAACUCCGUGCCAGCAGCCGCGGUAAUACGGAGGAUCCGAGCGUUAUCCGGAUUUAUUGGGUUUAAAGGGUGCGUAGGCGGGUUGAUAAGUCAGUGGUGAAAGGUUUGCGCUCAACGUAGACAUUGCCAUUGAAACUGUCAGUCUUGAGUACAAAUGAGGUAGGCGGAAUGUGUUGUGUAGCGGUGAAAUGCAUAGAUAUGACACAGAACACCAAUUGCGAAGGCAGCUUACUGGACAAAUACUGACGCUGA
rnacentral:rRNA from 1 species